CACGUAGGGUGCGAGCGUUGUCCGGAAUUAUUGGGCGUAAAGAGCUCGUAGGCGGUCGAUCAAGUCGCGUGUGAAAGCCCCCGGCUCAACUGGGGAGGGUCACGCGAUACUGAUCGACUCGAAGGCAGGAGAGGGUAGUGGAAUUCCCGGUGUAGUGGUGAAAUGCGUAGAUAUCGGGAGGAACACCAGUGGCGAAGGCGACUACCUGGCCUGUUUCUUGACGCUGAGGCGCGAAAGCUAGGGGAGCAAACGGG
rnacentral:rRNA from 1 species